rnacentral:lncRNA from 1 species
UUCCCCUACAGAGGGGAGAAAGACUAGCCUAACCAGAUAACAGAGGGAGACACAACUAGGGAGACUACGACUCGAGCCUAGAUGUUAUCAUGCAAAUCAUCCCUAAGUUAAGGUUUCUAGCUAACUUGCACAGGAAGCAAGCCUAUCCUAACCCUGACUUGCACAGGAAGCAAGCCAAACUAAACCUAACUUGCACAGGAAGCAAGCUAAACUAAACCUAACUUGCACAGGAAGCAAGUCAAACAAAC